GUCCCGCAACGAGCGCAACCCCUAUUGCAGUUGCAACAGGAGAGCUGAGCACUCUGGCGAGACUGCCGCCGACAAGGCGGAGGAAGGUGGGGAUGACGUCAAGUCAUCAUGGCCUUUAUGCCCAGGGCUACACACGUGCUACAAUGGCCGGCACAGACGGCAGCUUAGUGGCGACACUUGGCAAAUCCUCUAAAGCCGGUCCCAGUUCGGAUUGUAGUCUGCAACUCGACUACAUGAAGUCGGAAUCGCUAGUAAUCGUGAAUCAGAAUGUCACGGUGAAUACGUUUCCGGGCCUU
rnacentral:rRNA from 1 species